GUCCCCGGCGUCCGGGCGCCCUGCAUGGAUCCCCCACCCCAGCUCCUGCUCCCCGGCGGCGGCCGGUGGGCAGAAAGACCGAAACCCACUCACGGCCGCCUGCCGAAUCGCGGCUCUGCUGUUUGUGGGGCGUGCUAGAAACGUGGUCCUAAAAAGAAUGGCGUCCAUUUACAUAAUGCUUUGUUUGCGUUUCGCAAGUUUCUUUCGGUUAAAGCCACAGAAACCCCACCUCCUGCCCUUGUGUCGUUUCCACCGCGGCACCCUUUUCCGACAUUAGAAACAAUAGUGUACGCCUGUGGAGGCCUCGUUUGUUCAGGGGCUGCCGGCCAGGGCUUCAGGACGUUUCUGCGGCUUUCCCCGCGCGGCCUGGGCUCCCGCGGCUGCUUUUCGGGCCCAUGGGCGCAGCCACUGCGCCAGGCUCAAGGGGGGCGGCCCCGUCAGGGCCCGCCAUCUUGGAAGGCCUUUUUUGCCGGUUCUUCCCGCUGAGGAAGUGUCGCUCAAGACGCUGGCCUAUGAGUUGUGAUUUCUGCCUUUUCCCCUUCCUCCUUGGGCUAAGCCAGACCAGAAAGGGCCCCGUGCGCAACGUGCUUCACAAUCUCUCAGGGAAAGCGGCUAACGUGGCGCUACUCCGCCUCCCCUGUUCCUUACCCUUGGGGCGGCCGCCAUGUUUCCUGAACACAAAAUGGCGACACGUGGUUAGCAUUCGUCGCCAACGAGAAAUUGGGGUCGGCCCGAAAGCUCUAGAAUGCACCCCUCUUCCUCCCCGGGGCCUUCCACCUCCGCGAGUUUUAUGACUUAAAAAAGCCCACAGGCUGGUCUGAAGGUCGGAGGCCUAAUUUUAACGCGUUUUCCUCCCUUUAAUUUGAAACGGGAACGCGAAUGACUGUAAAAUGUGGGCACAAUAUUUAAUCUCUCGCCUUUUUAAAGCUUAAUAGUGGAUAAUAGGGGGGCAGUAUCAAGGGAUAAUUUGGGUCCCCACAGUACCAAAGCAUUUAGAAACCUCUGUUUAAUUUAAGGAAUGAGAUAAGUUACUGCUUUUCUAGACUUCCUAGCAUGGGCUGUUGUGCUGGAGAGAACGAGAGCUACGAAGAGACUACAGUGCCUCUGACUUUUUCAUAGGACAGUUGGCCGAGGAAGACAAACAUAAAGAUGAAGUGCUUAAUUCAAGGUCACACAAUGUCGGGGAUGGACCUCCAGAUUUCCUUACUGACCUGCAUUAUCUUGUGGAUACCUGAGUGAAUUCCACACCACCCAUUUUAUAGAUGAAACCACUGAGACAUGGAGCAAUUGACUGAGUAGUCACUGCCCCACCCCUGCCUGGAGCCUCACACAUGACUCGCCUCCUCUCAGUGACCACAGAGACGGAGUCUUGCUAUGUUGCCCAGGCUGGUCUUGAACUCCUCACCUCAAGCGAUCCUCCCGUCUUGGCCUCCCAAGUGUCAGGAUUACGGGCAUGUGCUAUCACACCCAACCUGAUACAUUGCCUUUAUAAAUUUUUUUUUCUUUAUUCUAAAAACCAGAAAAAACAAAACUGGAUACAUGUGCAGAACAUGCAGGUUUGUUACAUAGCUGUACGUGUGCCAUGGUGGUUUGCUGCACCUAUUGACCUAUCCUACCAAGUGUGUUGGGGACUUGAGAUGCGUACAUGAGUGUGAUGUUUCCUGCUGAAAGCACAGGUGAGACGUGGUCUUGUAACACAGUGGUUAAGAAUGUGACUUUGGAGCCAGCCUGCUAGGGGCUGAAUUCUGACUCAGCCAUUUACUAACUGUGUGACCUUAGGCUGGAGUGCAAUGGCAUGAUCUCGGCUCAUCACAACCUCUGCUUCCUGGGUUCAAGCGAUUCUCCUGCCUCAGCCUCCCGAGUACCUGGGACUACAGGCACUCGCCACCAUGCCCGGCUGAUUUUUGUAUUUUUAAUAGAGAUGGUUUCACUAUGUUGGCCAGGCUGGUCUCGAACUCCUGACCUUGUGAUCUGCCCACCUCAGCCUCGAAAAGUGCUGGGAUUACAGGCGUGAGCCACUGCGCCCAGCCUUGUAUUUUUUUUCAGUUUGGGUAGCUGUCCCUAAUUCAUUUGUUAAAGGAGAAGCAAGAGCAAGAACCUUUAAUCUGUUCUCCUCUUCCCUAAUUUGAAAGUAGCUUGUUAUUUUGAAUAUCACUUUCUCUGAAAUAGCACAUCUCCAUCUCAGAGAAUGGAUUUAAUGUUUGGAUACAGCCAAAAGUCAUUUCAUUACCAAACCAUGGGGUGAAUAUACCAUGUAAAGCAGUUUGGGAUCAGAACUCACAGUCUGAAUUGUAAGUGAUGAGACUGCUGUCUCUCUGCUACAGCUUCUUGGCUGGCUCUGAAGGCUCUUUGAAGGCAGAUCCUAACAAGGGGACUGCUUUGAAGGGCCAUUGUUCAUUUGGAAUGAUAAAGUCUAUGUUGUUCAAAAAACAAAUGCUUGUAGCAGGUAUUUUUUCACUCCAGACUGAGAAUAUUGGUGGGAUAUUGAUAAGGGGUACUGAAUGGUAAUAAACAUGUGCUCUAGCUCUGUGCUAGUCAGCUUAUUUCAGAACUCUAGUUUGAUUCAGUUUCUUGCCUCUGACUCAAAAUGGAGGGAGAGUGAUUUUUACAUAAGAGAACACACCCACAUAUCCUUUUGGCAGCAGCUACCUGCCAGAGAUGUUGAAGAAGAGUAGCCAACCUUUACACAGCAGAUAUUGUGUGCCAGUCAUAGUCCUAAGUAUAAUACCUUACAUGUAUAAACUUCUUAUAAGGUUGGUGCUCUGUACCGAAUUGAAUAGUAUCCCCCAAAAUUCAUGUUGUCCCAGAACCUAUGAAAGUGAUCUUACUUGAGGGAGGGGGGAGGGGGGAGGGAUAGCAUUAGGAGAUAUACCUAAUGCUAAAUGACGAGUUAAUGGGUGUAGCACACCAGCAUGGCACAUGUAUACAUAUGUAACUAACCUGCACAUUGUGCACAUGUACCCUAAAACUUAAAGUAUAAUAAUAAUAAAAUAAAAAAAAAAAAGAAAGUGAUCUUACUUGGAAAUAAGGUCUUUGCACAUAUGAUCAAGUUGAGAUGAAGUUGUACUGGAAAGUCUGUCUAGUGACUGGUGUUGUCAUAAGAAGAGAGGGACACAGAGGGAAGAUGGCCACAUGAAGAUGGAGGCAGAGAUUGCAGUUAUGCUGCUGCAAACUAAGGAAUGGCUCUGGCCCUCCAAGGAUUGCUGAUAACCACCAGAAACUAGAAGAGACAAGGAAGGAUUCUUCCCUAGAGCCUUCAGAGGGAGCAUGGCCCUACUGACACCUGGAUUUCAAACUUGUAGCUUCCUAAACUGCAAGAGAAUAAAUUUCUGUUGUUUUAAGCCA
rnacentral:lncRNA from 1 species